UGCUCUGUACAUUCAGAAGGCAGGAAUGUGAGAUGCCAGCUCCUUCAGGAUUGAAAUGGCUUUAUAUAAACCAACAGAGAGGGCAAGUUUAUGAAGUGGAGACAGGAUCUAAUUCUGUACUCAGGUUAUUGUUACAGUAAAUCCUCGAGACCAAAACUUUGGAAAAAACCCACUCUGCCUCUUGGGAAAUUUCCAUGGCAAUCAUUCCUUCAGUCUCCUUGUGCCGUUGGCUUCGUUUGAGGUGACGUCCACUCUGGUGGCUGUGGAGCGGCCCUCCCUUUCUCCAUGUCAGUUCUGAUUGCAAAGCCACAUCAAGCAAACCAGAAGACCAGCAGCUUCCAUGAAAAUAUUCCCACUGACUUCAAAGGACUUUGGGUCCAGCCUCACACAGUGGUCAAACCCUAGACAUAGCAGAGCAACCAAAACAACUCCUGCACAUGGCUGCAGCUGCAGGCACACAUAAAAGACAGUAGAGACACAUGGCUAAUGCAUUUCAACUCGGACUGCACCCCAAAAUACUUACCCUUGUGGUUGCAGAUGUUGUACCUCCAGAUGCACAUGUGCAUAGAAAUAUACACACAUAUAUGUAUGUUUUGGUGCAUUUAAAAUAGUCUAUUAUGUAAAUCAUGAGAUUUAUGUCACCAAAAUGCAGGUCUAAGGCAGCUACUGUACCUUACAAAGAAUCUUCAUAAAAACAUUUUCAUAGUGGCAUUGCUCAGAGAAGCUGGUGGAAUGACGACCUGGUGCAGAGACAGCAAGGAAUGUCACAGCGAGUUGGUGACUCAAAGGCAUCCCUUGCCCCUGUGCCAGCAGCACAGAAGGCCAUGGAGCCACACCACUGCAUGCCAGCUGCUGGUGGAGACUCUGCGGUCCAGCAAAGGGGCUGCUUUGGGGCUCUUACCUCUGGAUUUGGCUUUAACUCUGUUUAGAGGAUAUAUUCCAUGCAGGAAAGCUCCUUACUCUGUGACAGUGAAGGGCAUUGCAUCCUAAAAAUGCUGCAAGCCCCUCUGCAAAAAGCAAAAAGUACACAUUCAUCAGCUACACACACAUCUGUGAUUUUGAAAGGUUUAAAAGGAAAGAAUUAUAGUGAACUGAACUGGGAGAUAUGUUCAAUCUGAGUCUAUUAUGGCAGUAGCUCCACUGCAGGUUUUAUACUAAGAAAUCUGGCUUAGCAGUCUGAAGCACCAAAAUGAAAGAGAUUUUUUUUUUUUUUUUUUUUUUUUUUUUAAUCUACCAAUCAGUUUAUUUUCAGGAUAGAAACUUCUCUUUGAGUUUUCAGGGAACUAUCAGAGGGUGCUUUGGUCACUGGGAAGCAGAAAAAGAGCAAAUGUUUUAUACCAGCCACUCUUUCUCACUGCUGAUGCAAAAUCAUGGUAUACUCAAAGCACUUGUCUAGGAUAUAGCCAUGCUCCAGGAAACUUUAUGUAGAGUUAUUCUGCUUGGGGAAAAAUAUGAGGUUGAGGUUUAGGUCUGCAUCCAUAGUGAAUAAGAUAUGAUCAUUUUUGUAUAUUCCAGAAUUUAUGAAGAGUGGGAAAAAGAAGACAGUAAAUGUGAUGUGCAAAGAAUAGGGUAUGUUAAUUGUUUUAAUGAAUGUUUCUUUUUCAUUGUGGUGCGCUGUUCCUAUCAAUAUUGUUGCAAAGCAGUUUCUCUUUCCCUGAUUUGUUGUCAAAGGUAACAGUUUCAUCCAUUUCUUUCACAUCAUUUGAAGUUGAAAUCUUCCAUCCUGUGUCUACCAAGUUUGGCUGCUUUUGUUUGUUUUUAAGUUUUGGAAAAAUUACUUGAGCUUUCACAUUUGACAUAGGAUGACUGAACAUUGUUCUUACUGGCUGGCAACAGCUCCUCAUAACAGUGACUUGUGUCUCAGAAAACAGGGAGUGCUGACAGAUAUCUCCACUAAAGUGUUUAAACUGCAGUACAGAAAAUUGGUUCUCUUCAAUACAUCAGCGGAUAGGGGGUCUCAAAGAAAUAGCUUGGGGAAAAGGAAUAUUUAGUAUGAUUUUGGAUAAGAUUAUUUUCCUACUCUGUUUUCCUAGGAGAGGUGCCAAAUACCAACCCAGCCAUGAAGUUCAGACCAGAAGUCGGGAUACAGCUCUUCCCAGCUGGUACAACUUGCUGUGUGAACCUGGCAAAGUCAAUUAACCUACCCACUAAUUUUUUGUCUGUAAAAAUGCAGAUGCUUUUAAAAAUGAGUGAUUGAGCCGAAGUCCAGGCACAUUCAAGGAAAGACAACUGUUGGCUGAAAGAUCAGGCUUGUAAGUCUCACGGGUGUGGCGAGACAUGAUUCAAUAGCAUUUGCAAAUAUCUCUGAGGUUCUCAAAUGUAGGAUGAUCUGAGCAGGUAAAGAAUUCCAGUGACAACUUCUAAUGAAUGCAUACCUAUUAAUUCUAUCACCUCCCCUCCCUUUUUCAUGUCGAAGUAGCAAUAAGAAUGAGAUUUAAAGUAUUUAUUGAGUGGUUGAGAAAGCCAACCUUUGACUCUGUGCCUUAGAGCAGUGCCUGGGGCAGGCAGUAAUUGUGCAGAAAGGCACUGAUAGCAUGUCUUCUUAUUGCUUAAGAAAAGUGCUUUUCCAAUUUGCUUUGUUCACUGCGUUGCUGUACCAGACACAAGAUUCACAGCUAUAAAUACUAUGAGCUAUAUAUAAAUACAUAUAUAUACACAGAGACUGUGACUCAGACACAUUACCAGCACACUACAGCCCAAGACAGUACAAUUGAAAAAAAUAAAAAGAAAAUGAGAUUUCAUAGUUUUUAAUAAAUAGAGCCUGAUUCCAAAAUCACUUUUGCAGGGCUUGUUCGUAUGAGUAGUCAAACCUAGUGAGAAUAGAGUGGCUCAUAAGUGCAGAAAUUUGCACCAGACCUGUAAAUUGAAUUGUGUAUUCAGUAGGGUUUGGAGUUGCAUAUCAUAUUGAUUUUUCAAGAUAAGAAUAGGAACUGAGAUUGUAGAAAUUGUAUUCAUAUUUUCAGACCUGAAAAGUUUUGUUAUUUAUUGAUUGAUGGGAAUUUCCCAGUGUGCAGUGAUUGCCUUUGUGCUACAGACUCACUCAACCUGUCUACAGUCCUUCAACUGAGAUUGACAAAUUUGGCGGGGUUUUCUGCACCUUGAAGAAUUCCAGACAAUUUGGAAAUUGUCACUGAAUUGACCAAAGAAAGAUGGAUCUCUGUCUCAUCCAUCAUGCUGUGAGGUGGGCUAGUGCAUGCACUUCAAGUUCUUUUGAAUCUGCACAUGGGGUUGUGUUCUUCCUUUUCCUGGCUUGCUUUAGGUUAAUUUCUACAGUUAGGGACUCAAUGUACACAUUUGUGAUUAUACAUCUAUAUACACUGUCAUCUCCUGCUAUAUAAUUUAAACCCACAAUGUAUAAUUAAAUGGUUUUUACCCCUGUGUCUGACAAUAAAUGUGAGAAUAGCAACAGGAGACAGACAUUAAAAGCUAUAAAUACAUUCAAGAUAAACCAAUUUAAUAAUAUAAAUGCAUUUCUGAAGCCAUACUCCAAAUAUUGUAGUUAAAGUGUCCCAUAAAACAGAGUGAGCCACAUACACCAUUUGACAAAGUUUCUGAAAUGCAAGCAGAUUUUUACAACUUUUUGUUACAGUAUUCCAAACAUUACUGUGAUCUUAAUUUCAGAAUAAGCAAAUGGAGUUGCUGAUCUUGCCCCUCCAAAGGCUAUUUAGGAGAAGCUUUCUGAGCUUACUAUAUAACAAACAACAGGGGUAAAGUCAAUCAGUAAAGCUUAUCUGCUGCCCACUUUGAGAGCCCUCAGAUAUGUGUUGUCAACUGAAGUUACAAAUAGAUGUUUCUGAGGAAAAAAAUCUGGAUUUCAAGCGCAGCAAAGAGGUACAAAUUCUGUUCUCAGUGAAUAAGGAAUGGCUCAAUUUACUAUACAUUACAUCAAGACAUAAAGAUCAAUAUAUUUUUUCUUAGUUUUUCUUCGUGCAGUAUAUUGCAAAAUUUGGCUUCACUUCUCUGUAUUCCAAGUUAUGUCUGAAUAUUUCAGCAACCACAACAAACGUAUAUCUUUAUUGCUUGUACAGAUCUAUUUGCAGCACAACUCUGAAAGAGCAAGAGAACUAGGUGGCAAAUACCAGCUCUUCUUUCUGAGGUGAGGUGGACAAGAAACAGCGUAGUUAAGACCCACCCAGCAAAGAAUCGUUUUGCCAAAGAGCAAGGAAAAUAAGAAAAUCCAUAACAUUUGGUAACCACCGUCUUGGAGACAUCAAAAUUAAAUUUAUGGGGUUUUUUUCAGUAUGUUUGGUGACCACAUGAAGGCUUCUGACUGGCCUUUCAAGCAGCAUGGCCAUGGAACCACUACGUUGAAUAUAUAGGGUACUGUGCAUGGUGAUCAUCACAGCAUUGCCAUGCCCUCUCUGACUGAUCAUGUUAUUUCAGUGGUUUAUAAGCCAUAAGUUCAGAGUCUGAAAGGGCCAAAUUGUAGCAUUCAGGCUGUGCUGACUGCCUGGAAUGACUUGCCUUUUCUGAAGAUCUCAGAGAGCUUCAGGCUGAGUACAGCCAAGCCUUCAUUUCCCAACCCCUUUCUCCUCAUGAGAAGUACAACCUAAGAAUUUGGCAUGACAGACUACUGCCUUUUUCUAAUUUAUGAGCAGAUUUAUGAGCCAUAGGCUAAAGAUGCUCUAAUGGGUGAAAGUCAUCAUUCAACAGUCUCUUAUCAUUGAGAACAAAAAUCAGACCUUCAUUGGUUUUGAACUGAGACUCUAGAACCAGCUACAGUACUCAGGCAUUCAAUAAUAUAUCAAUAUUUUAAAUCUGGGUGAUACCGAAAUAAGUGAUACUCUCUUGUUUGAUAGAUAUAUUAGAGGAGGUGAAUCUUUUCCUAUUUCUUCCCAAUUUUCUCUGUCUUGACAAAUGCAUGGCAAGAGAGAAUCCAUGUUGCUUAGCAACUCCUUAGGAUGCAGAAAGAAAUCAGUCAAUACAACUCUGAAUUAAAGCUGCAGUGACCCACAGAAAAUUUUUCUAGAGAAAAACAAGAAUAGCUAAAUAUCCUCCAUCUUUAUCCUGAAGUCACAUUAGCUUAUGAGUCAAACUCUUUAAAACCAAGAAUGAUGGAGAAAGAUAUGUCUUUCUGAGGUGGAAGAAGGGGACUUAUUUAUUGUUGAGGUCUUAAGAGAAGGAACUCAUUUUAAAUUCUAGCAAUGCUGGUUUUUUUAGUUAAGGCUGAGAGUGGAUUUUUCCAUUUUGACACAAAUCAUUCAUGAGCCAUGUCAUGAUUUCAGUCAUGGGAGACUCUGGAUUAAUUCCUCCACUUGUUUGAAUUGUCGUUGAUUACAUUGGUAUUACAUCAAUCAUCUGAUGUGGCACCAAAACAAAGAAAGACAAGAUUAUUACUGUAUGUAAGGUUAUGCAUCCAGCUGUCAGCAGAGCACUUGCACCAAGCCUUCAACAGCGGAGGUAAAGUACGGUCCUCUUAGUCCAUGAGUGAACACACAAGCCACAGAGUCCUCUUUCUGGUGCUGGAGGGUUGACUGAGCAUUUUCAUGAUGUGUUUAUUCCCCAAACAUGACCAGCAGUCCUGCAGAAAUCAACAAGAUGAUCAGGGUUUGUGAGCAUUCCCAUCAAUGCUAACAGGUUUCUGAGUAUUCAAAACUAGUAAUAAAUGUGACUUCCUAGAAAUCCAAGAGAGAUAAAUUUAGCUCCUUUACUCACAGUAGUAUUCAUAUACUAAUUUAGUUUUUUUUUUUAUCACUUGACCAGAACUCAUCUGAAUUUUCAGUAAUGCAGGAUUUGGUUGAACUUGUCAAAUAACAAAGGAAAGUAAGUACAUGAGGAAAAAGUUGCUGUUUUCAUUCAACAAAUUGCAAAGCACAGGCUGACUUAGCAGCUACUCUUUGGAAAUUGCAACAUGCAAGAAAAAGUAAGAGAAACAAGUCUCAUGAUCACUUUUCAGACCAUCUAUUGCUUUCUGUUGCCAAGAAACAGACAGGAGAGAGCUUUCUCUCUCCUUUUUCUCUUUGGGACAGCAUUAGGAUUAUUAAGAUCACUGCUCCUACAGUAAUGCUUGUGUCUCUAGUUGCAUUACAAUAUAUUAAUAUGUCUUCUAGUUUCCUGUGAAUUUCUAAGGCAGUCCCAGUGUUAAGGUUACUUUAAGCAGCCUCAUUGGCUUCAAGGAAUGCUGAGGCUUUAUCAGCAGUGGUUGUCACAGUGAGAAGCACCUGGAAUAGCAAUUUUAUUGAGUGUCCCAUGGCCAUAUUAAUAUAUUUCAUAUUUCAUAUAUUACAUUUGUCCUCAUCAUUCACACUGCUUUUUUCUGUGACACUUCUACUUGUGUUAGCUGUGAAGAUCACACUUUGCUAUAUAUGACAAUCAGGCACAGGCUAUACAUGGCGUUAAAUGGAUUUAUACUGCAUUAUAGUACAUCUGUCAUGUUUAUACUGCGUGUAGAAUCAUGACAUAUAGAGAGGUUACUUCUGCUCUAUGUGCAAGCUAUUCAGCUAUAGUUAUCAGCCAUGGAUAAUAUAGAAAUAUGUUAUGAUAUUAAUAGAAAUACUGUGUGAUCUAACUUAAGAUAAAUAUUUUCUCCCUGGUAUCUAUCAAUAUUAAAAUAGUUCUGUAAGAGAAGUGA